rnacentral:rRNA from 1 species
UACAGAGGGUGCGAGCGUUGUUCGGAAUUACUGGGCGUAAAGAGUAUGUAGGCGGUUGCGUAAGUUCGGUGUGAAAUCUCCCGGCUUAACUGGGAGGGUGCGCCGAAAACUGCGUGGCUAGAGUGCGGGAGAGGAGAGCGGAAUUCCUGGUGUAGCGGUGAAAUGCGUAGAUAUCAGGAGGAACACCGGCGGUGUAGACGGCUCUCUGGACCGUUACUGACGCUGAGAUACGAAAGCGUGGGUAGCAAACAGG